rnacentral:lncRNA from 1 species
UCUCCAGUCGUAUUCUUGAAGUGUGGACGAGAGGACGUGUCUCUUCGCUCUCCGCCUCCUCGCUGAAGGGGGUCGUGCCUUCCACCCCCCGCCCCCUCUGCCAUAUUUCUUAAUUCUUCAAGUUGUUCUUUUUAUUCCUAAGUUGCCAUCUACGUUUAUGCGCUAAUUCAGAUCGUCUCACGGAUCCAUUUUUAUUCGUCUUCGUCUGCGUGAGAUAAUCAACAUGUCACGAGAGACAUUGAAGAUCGUGGUGGCGCUAUUGGCUCUGGGCCUUCUACAUGGCACAACCGGAGCGUCAACGGAAAAGGAGCAAGACAAUGCAAUUGCUGAUCAACAAAUCCCUAAUUCAUCUCGUGACAAGAGCGGUGUGCUUGGAAGUUCUUGCGUCAUCAACAAGCACUGCGGUGUUGCAAAGAGCAUGUGCAUGGAAGGGAGAUGCAGUUGCCCUCAAAAUUAUCUGCAGGUGAAUAAGAAUACUUGUCUACCGGGUGAGUGUUGCUUUUUGUUUUU